rnacentral:rRNA from 1 species
CGCGACGAUCGGUAGCUGGUCUGAGAGGAUGAUCAGCCACACUGGGACUGAGACACGGCCCAGACUCCUACGGGAGGCAGCAGUGGGGAAUAUUGGACAAUGGGGGCAACCCUGAUCCAGCAAUGCCGCGUGUGUGAAGAAGGCCUGAGGGUUGUAAAGCACUUUCAGUGGGGAGGAGGCUUGACAGGUUAAAAACUGGUUGAUUGGACGUUACCCCCAAAAAAGCACCGGCUAACUCCCUGCCCNCAGCCCCGGUAAUACCGAAGGUGCGAGCGUUAAUCCGAAUUACUGGGCGUAAAGGGUGCGUAAGUUGUUUAUUAAGUUAUCUGUGAAAUUCCUGGGCUUAACCUAAGGUGGUCAGAUUAAACUGGUAAACUGGAGUAUAGGAAAAGGUAGUGGAAUUUCCGGUGUAACGGUGAAAUGCNUANANAUCGGAANGAACNCCUGGCNAAAGCNGCUACCUGGNCUAAUACUGACNCUGANGCACNAAAGCNUGGGGAGCAAACNNGAUUANAUACCCUGGUAGUCCACCUGNAAACAUGUCNACUACUGUUGGUCAUAUAAUGUNAUUAUGGCCA